rnacentral:misc_RNA from 1 species
UGUUUUAAGUACAACAGACUUUGCAUUUUUACCGGUUGCAUUGGAGCAGACUAACCGAACGCCUUUUGCAACAAGUGCAUAGGCAUUCAAUAAAGAAAUAAGCUUUCCAUAUUCCUUGCGAAUGUUGCGGUUAAAUUCUUUGCUUCGCACAGGUAAAUUGGAGAACAACUUCUUAACAGUGACAGUUGUGCCAAUUUGACGUGCUGUUUUCCUUUCAGCAGUUAGUAAACCUGAGCGAUCAAAAGUUAAGUGUGUUGCUACUGACUCAUUUUUGGAUCUUGUUUCCACACUCAGAG